AUGGGUGAAAGGGGCGUGGUCAAGCGAGCUGUCUAGCACGUGCAGACAAUGCACUAUCAUCAAUACAAACCAAACAUCCGAACGCUUGAAAGUUUUGCGCUUUUGGAUUAUAAGGACAAAAAGGGAUCACGCCUCAAUGGACUUACAAGUGUUUUAGAUAAAACUCUUCAAGGAUAACUUCCUGACAUAGGUUCUUGUGUGGGAGCUGAGGCCUUUCCCAGACACAACAGAAACCAGAGGCUGUGGUUGAUUUCAUGACUUCCUCCUCAUUGUUUGCCUGUCUGUGUGACUGGAAACCGGCAGUGACAGACAGAUGACUCUGGUCGCUCUUAAACCGGGCUUGUGGAGAAACUGGACCUGGCUUCCCUUUUGAAGUAGUGACUAAUCAAGGCCGACGGCAGAGCGCCAUGCUUUUCCCACACUUCUGAGGCAGCGUAACCUGUCAUGCUGACCUUGUUGCUCAACUCUGCUUUCAGCUCGAUGUCCACAUUAUCCCAGCACACUGCUGCCAAGUUGCUGAAGUGGUUUACAUACAAUCCUGCACCCAGUGGUCAUUUUGGAGUUCAGCGGCAAAGAGCAUCAAGGAAGCAUUACCACAUCACUCACAGUUCAGCUCUCCGGCGUUGCCCUGACCUCCUGAACUCUGACUUCACCUGACCUCUCUUCAGACCUCUCGGUUUAACCAGCUCAGCGUCUCUCAGUAUCAGUGCGUCAUUCUGUGACAAGAGUUUGGAGCUAGAGGAGGACAACAAAGACUUGGGACAGGGCUGUAGACGGUUGGAAAUAUGCAAAGGGUCAGGUUUUGGCAGAUCUAGAGGGAGAGAGAGAGGGGAGCGAUCGAGGAGACGCAUCAGGAUACCAGCCUGCCUGGAGCUGCACCCAAACAUCAAGGGAGUCUGGGUAAUGACCUGAACUCUGCUGUACCUCCCUCUUCCACUUUCUUCUGCUCUGUUCCUUGUCACUCGGAUGUACCUGCCAGGAACAUUUCCUCAUUUGAGCAAAGACACAUGAGCAGACAUAAGCACGUGGCAGUUUAGGGAUAAUCCUACAUUUUCUGGUCAUAAUGACUGAGCAGUGAACCAUAUUUCCAAAUGAAAGUAUACUAUAAUCCUUUCUCCUCCACCCAAAAUAAUCAAAAAAGACUCUGGAUUUAGCAUUCCUUCAACUCUCUCUCUCCACUCUCACUAUCUUUCUUUUCCCUUCCACUUCCACUUCCCCUUUUCCAUGAUGAGAUGGAAACUUUAAGUGGAGUACACAUGCCCCAGCUCAUAACUGGCACAGGUGCAGAGAAACAUGCUCAGCGUAUGUGUGUAUUCACUUUACUGUAAGCGUGUGCGUGUGUACUGUAAUUGAAAUACCUCUGAGGGCCUCUGGUAUGCUUUCUAAUAGUGGCACAAUUAACAUGAAAGUGACUCUCAAAUUCCAGAACCAGCUAUCCAAUCUGUUCAAAAAUCUAAACCCUUUCCAGAGACAGAGGCCCUUAACAAACACAUGUUUUUCCAUCUCCCUUGCUCUCCCUUUUUUGUCUCCUCCAGUCUAGUUCAACAUGCCCAUCUAACUUGUGAAUGGCCUGUGAAUUGAAGAUCCAUUUUUGUCAUCGCACCUGUAUGGAACGUGUGAGUGUGUGUUUGUGGGUGCGUGUGAACGCUGUCUAAUGACCCUCACUCCACUGCACAGGCAGAGAUGAAACUGUGAUGCCAUUUGUUUUGAUGUCAUAAAUCGAUGGGAUUGAGUCUCCUAGGAGCUUCAGCUGUUCACUCAGCUUGACGGCAAAUUACAUCACACUCUCAUCACUCACCCGCAGAUUUGUGUUUUUCAGCCACAGCUCUUUCAAAGUGAUCUAGUCUCAGAAUAGGACUGAAAAUCUCCCACUGUAUCAAUCCAUAUCAGGUCCAAUGCAUCUCCCACUGUAUCAGUGUCUGACAAGAUCUGUGAGACGCACAAGCAGUUGGUGUGAGGAAUUUUUAGCUAGUGUUUGAAAUUGGGUACUAUGGCUUUUUAAUAUUAAUGUUUUGUGCAGCGUAUAUAUAAUUGUUAUAUGGACUUUUGAAACCAUGUUUUCUGCAAGCUUUUUUUGCUGGUGUAAUGAUCAACCAGUACACCAGCAUCCUAUUAUGAUUAACCAGUAUACCAACAUCUUGUGAUGAUUAACCAGUACACCAGCAUCCCAUAAUUGUCAACCAGUACAACAGCAUCCCGUAUUGGUCAGCCUGUACACCAGCAUACCGUGAUGGUCUAGCAGUACACCGGUAUUCCGUGAUGGUCAACCAGUACACCAGCAUCUCGUGAUUGUCAACCAGUACACUAGCAUCUUAUGAUGAUCAGCCAGUACAUCAGCAUCCCAUGAUGGCCAACCAUUACAUCAGCAUCCUAUGAUGAUUAACCAGUAUACCAACAUCCUGUGAUGAUUUACCAGUACACCAGCAUCCGGUAAUGGUCAAAAAAGUCAUCAGCAUCCCGUAAUGGUCAACCAGUACACCAGCAUCCCAUGAUAGUCAACCAGUACAUCAGCAUCCCGUGAUGAUCAACCAGUACAUCAGCAUCCCGUGAUGGUCAACCAGUACAUCAGCAUCCCGUGAUGGUCAACCAGUACAUCAGCAUCCCGUGAUGGUCAACCAGUACAUCAGCAUCCCGUGAUGGUCAACCAGUACAUCAGCAUCCCGUGAUGGUCAACCAGUACAUCAGCAUCCCGUGAUGGUCAACCAUUACACCAGCAUCCUGUGAUGGUCAACCAGUACACCAGCAUUCGUGAUGGUCAAUCAGUACACCAGUGUCAUGUGAUGAUCAACCAGUACACCAGCAUCCUGUGAUGGUCAGCCAUUACCCUUGUAUCUCAUGAUGGUCAACCAGUACAAUAGCAUCCUGUGAUGAUCAACCAGUACACCAGCAUUCGUGAUGGGCAACCAGUACACCAGCAUUCGGGAUGGUCAACCAUUACCCUAGUAUCCCAUGAUGGCCAACCAGUACAAUAGCAUCCUGUGAUGGUCAACCAGUACACUAGCAUUCGGGAUGGUCAACCAUUACCCUAGUAUCCCAUGAUGGUCAACCAGUACACUAACAUCCUGUGAUGAUCAGCCAGUACGUCAGCAUCCCGUGAUGGUCAAAUAUUACACCAGAAUCCCAUGAUGAUCAACCAGUAAACCAUCAUCUCAUGAUGAAUAAACCCUCUGUGGGUUAAAAGGCCUUGCCAAACCAGUCACCAGGGGAUCCAUUGCCUAAGACCUGCGGUAAAUACAUUCUCAACAAUCAGUAUUCAGAAUUGAUGGCCUGCAUAUCCUGUAGUGUUUUUUUUUUCAGCCCAGGGUUUGUUUGGAUCCCCAAGAGCGAUGCCAAUUUAUUCUGGGUUGUAAAAGAUUUAGACUUAGACAUUUCUGUAGUCUGGAAGUGUAUCCUCAUGGCCUGUACACCUAUGUGUUUGUUCUGUCUGUUUCCCACACACAAACCGCACUAACACACAGACAAGCACAAACACAGGGAAAAUUACCUUGAAAUGUGUCAGUCUGACUAAUAAUUAAGCAAGGCCUUUUAAAUGUUCAUUGACUAAAUCCAGAUAAGUUUAUACUUUUGUCUGCCCAGCUAUGUGUUGUCUAUCUUUUAGUUGACAUCUGUAGCAUGCCAUAGCCUUAAGAAAAACAAAUAAAUUAUAUUCAUAAUUUAUGUUCCCUGUAUUUUGCAAUUUUUAUUUUUGUUUUAUUUUACUUAUGAUUUUUGACCUUCAAAACCUGUUGUGUUCUAUUUGGUAACCAUCAAGGUCCUAUUAUUAUUCUUUGAAAAAAGUCUGGUUGGAUUAAGGUCCAUAUUGAGAUUGAGACCUACAGGGCAGAGACAGUUCUGUCCAGAGAUUUAGCUUUAGGAAUCCCAUUUCAUUGGGUCUGAAUGUUUUUGCCUAGUGGUUAAGAUAAGGACAGCUGACAGGAGCAAGCAUUUAUACAUGAACUUGAUUUGACUGUCCCCUAACAAAAGUUUGAUUUCAGUUCAAUGCCUUAAAAGUUCAUGCAUUAAUUUAUCAUAUUGCACAAUUUAGACUCUUACAGUUGCAUUAAUGCUAACUUUUUUCUAAUGGGUUAAAUAGUUAAGGGCCACACUAAACUUUGGGUAAACGUAUGUUUCACACUGUUCAUACUUGACCCUCGGUUAGUAAUUAAUCCUGGCUGUUCAAGCUUCACGAUUUCCACUGUACAUUUCUAAAUCCAGAGUUAACAGUCUUAUUUACAGAUUUAACAGGUCAAUAACAUUAACUGGAAAAACAAAUAUGGUUGUGCAACCUGUUUUAACUGUUUACCUAUCUGUGAAAAUGUCACUAUGCAAAGCUACUUUCUCUGUUUAAUGUCUCCUAAAGCAUACAAAAAAUAAAACUUCAAUUUGUGUUUACAGUCACAUCCAACAUUCAAACUAAGUUUAUAUGUCUGUACAACUCAUGAAUAUUUAAUUAGCUAAGCACUAUUUCGUUUGUGAUUGGUGGUUUGGUACUCUCGCUGUGACUUUCUAACACUGCAUAGAUUUACACUGUAUAUCUUUACCACCACAAAAUGGUGUUAGAGCUGCAAAAGUGUUGCUAGCAGUGCUCUGAAUCAGGUUUAUGUAACCCAGACUUCAAAAUUACAAGUGUGAAACUUGUAUAAAGGGGUAUAAAAAGACGCUAACCCCUGAUUUAAGUGCACUUGGAAAAGCCCUAAAGAGACUUGAAAAUUAAUGCUCAUCAGGAGAGGUCAAUAAUGGUCAACCUGUGGGAAUGGGAAGUAAUGCGAAUCAGCCAGCUAAUUUCCAACAACCACCUCAAUAACAGUAUUGAUUGCAAGUUACAGCUACAGGUUUAGAAUGACAGAUCUAAGCAAAGGACAGGAAGAUCAAAAAGAAAGAAAGAUGACCUCUGACUUGAGGAGAUUCCAUCUGUUCAGCAUAUUUUGGUUCAGUUUAAGGUCGGGAAGGUCAAAGUGAAGCAACUUCUGAAAAGAGAGAAAGGCAGAUAGCAAUGGAGAAGGUACGUUCCUUCCUUUAAUGACAGUAUUGCAAUUCAUUCCCACCCAGUGAAAGAGAGUGCAUUCCGCCUGUGCAAUUUGAUGUAACUCCACUCAGAGCUUAUUGCGGCACUGAAAGGAGAUAUUGUUUUCCUCUAGGCACCUGUGACCCAGCUCGCUUGACCGGCCGACAUGUGUGAGAAGUGCUAAGUCAAAAAAAAAAAAAAAAGUGGUCAGACCUGCAUCAUGCAGUUUGAUUCAAUCUGCUCAGCAGCAGAAACCCCUUCAUCCAGAUUUAUCAGCAAAGAGGACUGGAUGAACAGCAGUGGAGAGUGUUGCAGCAGAGCAGACUGCACUGUUAUGUUCUUAUUAGACAGCUCACUUUCAGUAUAGGUACCUUGGUAUGUCUCUGGAUGACCUUAUCUUUCAAAGUUUAAUAAUUGUGCAAAUGGCUGCUUGCCAGGAUUCUAUGAGAGAGAUCCAAUUCACUGGCCACACAACCUAGGUGGUCUAAGUUGCAUUGCCUGCACUCCAUGAGAGAUAACCACAAACACACAGACAUUGUACAGAAUAGUCUGAGUAUCAGAAAUGUCCCUGAGGGUUCUUUUUGUUUGGAAAGACGGAGAGAGAGAGAGGAAGAGGCAUGUGACCUGCUGUUGCUUGUUGUCCCCAAUGAAUAGUCAUUUAUCACACGGCAUGCUGUCUAGUGUGUAAGGAAUCUGUGUCCCUAAUUACAUUAAACUCACUUUGCCUCCAAGGGUGAAAAAGUUUGGAUGUGGCUAAAUAUGAUGCAUUACAGCGGGAUGCUAUUGAAAUUCUCAUCAAGUUCUCGCUUAUCAAAACUACUUCACCCUGUUGGCAGUUCGAGACGCCUCUGAAUUAGUUAAAACAUACUUAGUAUUGAUGCAUUAUGGCUAGGCUGAGAUGGAAUAUACAGCCUUUUUUCACAUUUCACAUGCUGAUUUGGGCAGAAAAUCUGCAGAAAAGCUUUCAAUGUUGUAAAUUGAAAGCAAUAAACUGUUAUUGAUAAGCUGAAUCAAAUUAGCAAAAAUAUUUAAUAAACACACAAUAUGGAGAAUAUUUAGAACUGUGCAAAUAACAAGUAUUGCAGUUAUGCUUUUUGGUUUGUUUUUGUUUUACAGAGAUCUGUGAGUGGAUCAAUGACAUGAUGUUCAUUUUGUCUGCUAAUCAAUCUGCAAUCUAUGAAUGCAUUCCAAAAUAUAUUAAAAUGCAAUUCAUAUACAGAAUGACUUGAAUCCUUGAAUAUACCCCGAG